UUGUUCUCAUUGUUACAAACAAUGAGAACAAUAGAAACCCGUUUCCUGACUUACUGAACACCCUGUAUACUAAAAAAUAACGAAAAAAAAGGUGACUCAGUAACACACAUAAAAUUGUUUUGAAAAAAAAAACAAAUAAUUUAAUAACUAUACACAACACGAAUAAUUUUCAAGAUAUUUUUGUGGGUGUCAAGAUGACAUAACGUAUAACGUAUAAACGGGAUCCAGAUAGUAACAACAAGAUCAGCAAGGUCAGUAAGUCAAUCCAGAAGCGUCAUUUCAACUGGUCAGGUAGUCAGUCAGCCCUGAAGAAUACCAAACAUCCUAGAUGUAGAACAAGAAAAAAAAAAUUUGAUGUGAAAUGUCAACCGUCAGAGUUUGCAUUUUAAAGUUGUUAAAAUUUUACUAUGGUUUUAUAGCAUUAAAUUAAAAAUUUGGUAGACAGAAGAAUUUAUGGGAAAACUACUAUUUUUUGUAUAUAUAAUUGGUAUCCUUAUUAGGAUAUACUUAAGCCUCAAUGACUUCAGUACAUUAAUAGCAGACAGAGUUGAAAUUUCAACACCUUUAAAUUCAUGGAAAAAAGUAAUUGAAGGAGUUUCAUUGUAUAAUCAAAAUAUCAAUCCAUAUGAUGGAGACUUGUUUCAUGAAACACCACUGGCUCUUAUUUUCUUUAGUUUUUUAACUUCAAAACUGUCACAGUUUUAUAUAUCAUUAAUAUUUAUUGUCUGUGAUCUUUUAACAGCUUUUAUUUUAUAUUUAACAUCAAAGAUUUUUACUAAAAAUCUGCUUAAAAAUCAAGUAGAAAUCAAGCAUACUUAUAUGAAACAAUUUUCAUCAUUAUUAAUACCUGAUUAUUUUGCUGAAAUAAAUCCAGUUUAUGUUUGUUCAGUCUAUUUACUGAAUCCUUAUACAGUAUUAAGUUGUGUUUCCAAAACAACUACUGUCUUCAAUAAUUUAUUUCUGGCAAUUUUUCUGUAUGCGAUGGUGAAACGACAACGUCUAUUGGGAAGUGUUAGUUUAGUAUUAGCAUCUUUGUCUACAUUUUAUACUUUCGGUUUAGUAGCACCUUUAAUGAUAAGUUGUGCUCCAACUGAAAAUAAGAAAAAGACUGGUUCUUAUAUUAUAACAUUUCUGGUAUGCUUAUUAAUAAGUUGUGCUUUAUUAUACGUAUGUUUUAUUAUAAUGGGUGAAUGGAUGUUCCUAGAUUCAGUUUAUGGUUUUAUAUUAAAUGUCAGAGAUCUAAAACCAAACAUUGGAUUAUUCUGGUAUUUUUUUACUGAAAUGUUUGAACAUUUUCGGGCACUAUUUGUGUGUGCAUUUCAAUUAAAUGCAUCUAUUUUGUAUGUUAUUCCGUUAAGUAUUCGUCUUCGUCAUGAUCCACUUCUGUUGGCAACUAGUUUACUAGCAUUAACCGCUGUAUUCAAAUCUUAUCCAAGCAUUGGAGAUGUUGGGUUUUAUUUAAGUCUAUUGCCAAUUCAUAGGCAUCUAUUUUACUUUAUGCAGCAGGCUUUCAUUGUUUCAUGUUUCUUUGUUGGAUGCACAGUAUUUGCACCUACUGUAUGGCACUUAUGGAUAUAUUCAAGAUCAGCAAAUGCAAAUUUUUAUUUUGGAGUUACUCUUGCAUUUGCAACAACUCAAAUAUUUCUUAUAACAGAUUUGUUAUUUGCUUAUAUUAAGCGAGAUUUCGCUAUAAAGCAUGGAAUGAAACGAGUUAUAAAUGGUAAAGAAGCCAGACUUAUGCUUGAUUAAUCAAUCAUUAUCAAUUAAUUUUAUCACAAAUGUUUUUUACUACUAAUUAGCAAACUUUAAAUGCCAAAAGAAAUUUCUACAAAUAUUAUUUAUACAUAUUUAUAAAUAAAAUUUUAAAUACAAACAAAAAUAAUUUAUAAUUUUAAUAAUAACUUUUUUUGAUUAAAUAAAUAAAAAAUUAAAACCUAUGUUAAAUUUUUUGUCCCUGUUUCUCCUGCUAUAUAGCUAUAAAGUUUCAUCAAAUUGUGUGCAUUUUGUUGUUUGCCAAGAUAUCUAAAAUAAUUUUUUUCUUUU